rnacentral:rRNA from 1 species
AACGUAGGUGGCAAGCGUUGUCCGGAAUUACUGGGUGUAAAGGGAGCGCAGGCGGACUAGCAAGUUGGAAGUGAAAUCUAUGGGCUCAACCCAUAAAUUGCUUUCAAAACUGCCGGUCUUGAGUAGUGCAGAGGUAGGCGGAAUUCCCGGUGUAGCGGUGGAAUGCGUAGAUAUCGGGAGGAACACCAGUGGCGAAGGCGGCCUACUGGGCACCAACUGACGCUGAGGCUCGAAAGUAUGGGUAGCGAACAGG